AGACCCAGUUCCACGCAGAUCUUGGACCCAAAGUGAGGCCUGUCUGUGGCAGUUGGCACCCAAACAGGGACACUGGGGCAGAAUCGACACCAAACAUUGGGAUAUUUAUAACAGACGGAAAUGACUGGCUCGCAGCUAUGUAAGCUGGCAGGCACAGAGAACAAGCACAAGUCCUCAGAGAGAAGAACCAUGAAGGUUUGCAAGGAAUAGGAUACCAAGGGCAUGCGCUUCAAACAC